rnacentral:rRNA from 1 species
CGUUCGGAGAGUCGGGUUGCUUGGGAGUGCAGCCCAAAGUGGGUGGUAAACUCCAUCUAAGGCUGAAUACCGGGGCGAGACCGAUAGCGGACAAGUACCGUGAGGGAAAGUUGAAAAGGACUUUGAAAAGAGAGUUCAACAGUACGUGAAACCGCAAAGAGGCAAACGGGGUGGUCCUCAACGGCCGUCGGAAGGUGCGCUGCGGUCGGUCCGCCGGGCCUCCGGGAUUCGUCCCGGGGGUUCGGAGGUGCCGGCCGCUGCGCGUCCCUUCCGCGGCGGAACGGCGGCCGGUGACCGGGCCGGCGUGUUCCGCGCUGCGAGAUCUCGCUUCGGCGGGGUCUGCGUGCGGUCCACACCGGGCUCGGUGACCGAGGUUGCGACGGCGCCUGCCCCUCGGGGCGGCCGCCCUCCGUUACUCGUCGGCACGCUGCGUCCACUGUCCUCGGUAGGCGUGGUCGUGUCGGUGGGUCUCGGGGGUGUCGGUCCUAGGCGUCGCGGGCCGGCCGGGUCAAGGAGGUAGCCGUCCCGACCCGUCUUGAAACACGGACCAAGGAGUCUAACACGCGCGCGAGUCGGAGGGUGUCAAACCCCGUGGCGCAGCGAAAGCAAAGGCGGCCUCGUGCCGCUCGGGUGGGAUCCGGUCGCCUCGGCGGCCGGCGCACCAUCGUCCUCUCGUCGCUCGCGGCGAGGGAGCGAGAGCGUGUGUGUUGGUACCCGAAAGAUGGUGAACUAUGCCUGGACAGGGUGAAGCCAGGGGAAACCCUGGUGGAGGCCCGUAGCGAUUCUGACGUGCAAAUCGAUCGUCUGAGCUGGGUAUAGGGGCGAAAGACUAAUCGAACCAUCUAGUAGCUGGUUCCCUCCGAAGUUUCCCUCAGGAUAGCUGGCGCUCGAGAGUUAGUUUCAUCGGGUAAAGCGAAUGAUUAGAGGUCUCGGGGUCGAAACGACCUCGACCUAUUCUCAAACUAUAAAUCGGGUGAGAACCCGUGCCCUCUUGAUUGGGGCGCGGGCCUCGAAUGCAGAGUGCCUAGUGGGCCAUUUUUGGUAAGCAGAACUGGCGAUGCGGGAUGAACCGAAAACCGGACUGCGGCGCCCUAUGCCGGGACGCUCAUCGGAUCUACGGGAAAGGUGUUGGUUGAUAAAGACAGCAGGACGGUGGCCAUGGAAGUCGGAAUCCGCUAAGGAGUGUGUAACAACUCACCUGCCGAAUCAACCAGCCCUGAAAAUGGAUGGCGCUGGAGCGUCGAAAGCCUACGUCCGGUGGCCGGGGAAAGGGCGAAUUCCCCGGCCAGUAGGAGGGCCGCGGCGGGGAGCGCCGAAGCUCGGGCGCGGGCCCGAGUGGAGCCCCCGCCGGUGCAGAUCUUGGUGGUAGUAGCAAAUAUUCAAAUGAAAGCUUUGAAGGCUGAAGUGGAGAAGGGUUCCAUGUGAACAGCAGUUGGACAUGGGUGAGUCGAUCCUAAGGCGCAGGAGGAAUCCGGGAAAGCGCGCCCUCGCAGGCGCCGAGUGCCGAAAGGGAAUGGGGUCAAUAUUCCCCGACCUGGACACGGAUGUUGCUCGCGAAUCAAAGCCUCGGGCGUUCCGGCUCGUCUUCGCGGCUUGUCGGUCGUCCGCGGCGGUCGCGGGUAGUAGCGGUGACGCAAACGAACCCGGCGACGUUGUCGAGAGCCCUGGGAAGAGUUCUCUUUUCUCUUUUAGGGUACGUUCUCCCUGGAAUCGGUUCGGCCGGAGAUAGGGAAGGCGGUGCCCGUAGAGCACGGCAGUUCUUGUCGUGUCCGGUGCGUUCUCGACGGCCCUGAAAAGCC